rnacentral:rRNA from 1 species
UACAGAGGGGGCUAGCGUUGUUCGGAAUUACUGGGCGUAAAGGGCUCGUAGGCGGCCAACUAAGUCGGAUGUGAAAUCCCCAGGCUUAACCUGGGAACUGCAUCCGAUACUGGAUGGCUUGAAUUCGGGAGAGGGAUGCAGAAUUCCAGGUGUAGCGGUGAAAUGCGUAGAUAUCUGGAGGAAUACCGGUGGCGAAGGCGGCAUCCUGGACCGGUAUUGACGCUGAGGCGCGAAAGCCAGGGGGAGCAAACGGGG